rnacentral:rRNA from 1 species
AGAGUUUGAUCAUGGCUCAGAACGAACGCUGGCGGCAGGCUUAACACAUGCAAGUCGAACGCCCCGCAAGGGGAGUGGCAGACGGGUGAGUAACGCGUGGGAAUCUACCCAGUUCUACGGAACAACUGAGGGAAACUUCAGCUAAUACCGUAUACGCCCUACGGGGGAAAGAUUUAUCGGAAUUGGAUGAGCCCGCGUUGGAUUAGCUAGUUGGUGAGGUAACGGCUCACCAAGGCGACGAUCCAUAGCUGGUCUGAGAGGAUGAUCAGCCACACUGGGACUGAGACACGGCCCAGACUCCUACGGGAGGCAGCAGUGGGGAAUAUUGGACAAUGGGCGCAAGCCUGAUCCAGCCAUGCCGCGUGAGUGAUGAAGGCCUUAGGGUUGUAAAGCUCUUUCAGUGGGGACGAUAAUGACGGUACCCACAGAAGAGCC